UUACGGCCAUAUCACGUUGAAACACCACUUCUCGUACGAUCACCGAGGUUAAACAACGUUGGCUCUGGUCAAUACCUAGAUGGGUGGUCGCUUGGGAAUAAUAGGUGCUGUAAG